rnacentral:rRNA from 1 species
UACGAAGGGUGCAAGCGUUAAUCGGAAUUACUGGGCGUAAAGGGUGCGUAGGCGGUUGUUUUAAGUCUGUCGUGAAAUCCCCGGGCUCAACCUGGGAAUGGCGAUGGAUACUGGACAGCUAGAGUGUGUCAGAGGAUGGUGGAAUUCCCGGUGUAGCGGUGAAAUGCGUAGAGAUCGGGAGGAACACCGGUGGCGAAGGCGGG